AAAAACUUCGGCAAGAACGUGGAGCUUGUGUAGUGAGACUUGUGUGCUAACUUAGACCACAAGCCCCCUCACGAGCCCUGUUUUUACGAACCCUGUGUGAACCGUAAUAUUUAUUCCAUCCACGUAAUACGAAAUUUCUAGUCUAAAGUCUUCUUCAUAUCACGAGAAUAUGAUAAAAA
rnacentral:misc_RNA from 1 species